ACAGAUGCAAUAAAAAUAAACACACUCUUCUGCUGACUCAGAAUUUCUGGAGAUUUCCUAUUUCGUCAAGUUUGUCUCGUUUACAAAAUGUUGCCCUGGGAAACGUAAAGGAAUUAAGGCAGGACAAAGAAGUAAUAAUGCGGAAGGUAAAGGUUGGUGGGGGAUAGGACUGCUGUUUUUAGUGGAAUCUUCUACAUGGAAAGAAAACUGCAGGAUGUUAAUCUGGACCUGAGCAGAAAGCUGGCAUGUUCAACAUACAAAUCUGGAUGUCUUGUUAUAAGAUCCGAAGAAAGUUAUCUGUUAAUUCAGGACACAAGAAUACCAGCAGAGUGAAGAAUGUGCCUGGGAGAAAUGGGAGGAUUUGAGGAUUGCUGGAGAAAAUGGGUGCCAGGAAAUGAGAAACUCAUGUGUCUGGGGCCCUAAAAGGCCUAGCUAAGUUCGGUGUCAGAAGUGGGAUGUGGAGGAAACCUCACACGACCCUCAGAAGCGCCAAGUGAUCAAGCAAAGGACACAGAGAAUGGGUCUAUUGGAAAUGACACCAGGGAAAGACUGCCCCUGAGCCCCACUGGAAGGAAUGAUACCAAGCUCUUUUAAGCAGUCAUACUGCAGCAAAAGUUUAUAACCUUCAGUCUCGGCUCCACAUCUCUCAACUCAAGAGGAUUCCUCCAAGACUGCACUUCUGGAGACCUCAAGGCAAAACUGACCAAAGAGAUUUCUCUUCAGAAGAAGAUGACAUCCUAGAUGUGGCCAAUUUUCCCAAAACAAGGAUCAAAACUUCUCCCCACUCUCAUUAUGAAAACUUUGUCUUUUUCCCAAGUCUUUGCUAUUGUGAAUAGUGCUGCAAUAAACAUACGUGUGCAUGUGUCUU